rnacentral:rRNA from 1 species
GACGAACGCUGGCGACGUGCUUAACACAUGCAAGUCGAACGGAAAGGCCCUGCUUUUGUGGGGUGCUCGAGUGGCGAACGGGUGGGUAACACGUGAGUAACCUGCCCUUGACUUUGGGAUAACUUCAGGAAACUGGGGCUAAUACCGGAUAGGAGCUCCUGCUGCAUGGUGGGGGUUGGAAAGUUUCGGCGGUUGGGGAUGGACUCGCGGCUUAUCAGCUUGUUGGUGGGGUAGUGGCUUACCAAGGCUUUGACGGGUAGCCGGCCUGAGAGGGUGACCGGCCACAUUGGGACUGAGAUACGGCCCAGACUCCUACGGGAGGCAGCAGUGGGGAAUAUUGCACAAUGGGCGGAAGCCUGAUGCAGCAACGCCGCGUGCGGGAUGACGGCCUUCGGGUUGUAAACCGCUUUCGCCUGUGACGAAGCGUGAGUGACGGUAAUGGGUAAAGAAGCACCGGCUAACUACGUG